GUUGAUAAGCCUCCAAGUUACUUGUUUUCCAUAAGAAGCUUUAUGAUACAGAUGUUUGAACUUGAUCUGUCUUUUAUUUUUUCGCUGAAAGAGAGAUGUAAUUCAUGGUUUUUGUCUCUGAACUAUUAUUUGACCGGAUCUUCUGUGUAGUUGAACUUUAUUUUGUUUUUAGGCAUUUUGUUAUUACUUGUAUACCAGACCAAGUUUUGGUAUCCUCCUUGUUGCAAUGGUUGAUACAUUUACGAGUCUGGUAAAUUGACUUUGUUCAUCGUUGCAGAUAUGUAGAAGAUGCUCAUUGAAGUUUUGAUGAUGCUCAUUGAAGUUUUGAUGAUGCUCAUUGAAGUUUUGAUGAUGCUCAUUGAAGUUUUGAUGAUGCUCAUUGAAGUUUUGGUGAUGCUCAUUGAAGUUUUGAUGAUGCUCAUUGAAGCUUUGAUGAUGCUCAUAUGUGCUUGAUGUGAACAAAACAUUGUUUAUUUAGUUCUUGUUUCAUCCUUUAUCUUAUUCUGGCGUCUAGUAUAAGUCAUCUGCGGUUAAUAGAUCUCUUAUCUAUGGAAAUUUUGUUUUAUUUUAGUACAAUUUUUUAAUUUUGAAGUAUAUUCUGUUUAUAGGCAUUUUGUUAUUACUGGGUUCCUUGCUGAAUUGUAGUUGUUUGCAUUUGUUCUAACCUGAGAAUUUCAUGAUUAACAUGUAUUUUGGAAGCUAGAUAGUUGUUGUCACUGUCAGUCGAUUUAUAUUCCAUAUCUAAAUUGGUUCUGUGAGGAUUAAAUAUUAAACAGUUCCAAGAUUUGAGUUUCGUAGAUGUUCAUUCACUGGCCAAAUGGCAAACUAGAGUAUCUCUUUUUAGACAAAUUAUGAAGCAUUGUUUUUUUUUUGUGAAAAAAAUUGUUCACAAAAAUGGUGUGGUUUUUUUUUUCUACUUGAAUUUUAUAGUUGGGAAGGGUCGUUGGUCUGAGUUAACCAUAAAUGCGUCCCCGGGUACACAAUUAUAAUUGAAGCUUAGUUUUGUCAAGUUAGCAAUUGGUUUUCUGUUGAAUUGUGAUUAAAAGGUGCCUAAGUCUGCCGCUUGGCUCCAUCUAUAUCCCAGACGUAAACUCGGUAUCCUCCUUGUUGCAAUGGUUGAUACAUUACAUGUCUGGUAAAUUGACUUUGUUCAUCGUUGCAGACAUGCUGCAGAUAUGUCGAAGAUGCUCAUUGAAACUUGAUGCUCAUUGAAACUUUGAUGAUGCUCAUUGAAACUUCGAUGAUGCUCAACGUGUACAAAACAUUGUUUAUUUAGAACUAGUUUCAUCCUUGAUCUUAUUCUGCCGUCUAGUAUAAGGCCAUCUGCAGUUAGUAGAUUUCUUCUGUAUGGAAAUUUUGUUUUAUUUUAGUACAAUUUUUUAAUUUUUGAAGUAUAUGUUAUGUCUCUGCAG
rnacentral:lncRNA from 1 species